GGGGCACCACAGCGGCAACAGAAAACGCUGAUGCCCGGGUCUGAGGCAGCCCCGGGCAAUGAGGCUGCCUGCCACAAGCUGAGCAGGAGCCCGACCGUCCUGACCUCAGUGGCACCCUGAGAUGACUUUCCUGUUCAGGUCUGCUGGAUGGGGAGGAUUCUUGAGACCAGGAGCACUUGUAUAGCAGGAAAGAGUUACUGGAGAGAGAAGAAAAAGAUGGUCUGUGUUGCAAAAGAAACCCCAGGCUCAAGACUGGAGAACUCAAUGUGCAAUUGCAAUGGCACUGGAGACAAUGAAAAUCGUGUCAGGACAACUUAACAACGGGUCUCUGUGUACAGGCCAUCAAAGCAAUUUAACCGAAACACUUUUUAGAAAGAUGAUGAUGCUUUCUUUCAAAAUAAUACAGUGAUUAACCUCC